CCCUGUGGCUCCGUAUAAAUGUCAUUUUCCCUUGGGAAGGGUGGGAGGCUGGGCUGGUGCUCUGCUGGGGCUGACAGACACAAAAACACAUGAUGACAAUGCAGAGGUGAGCAAGUGCAGACUGCAUUAAGCUCUCUUAGGGAGGGAUCCCCAGGUGUUGGAAAAUCAGAAUUACUCUGUUUCUGGGACGCAAGGAUCUCUUGGCAUAAUGGGAUAGAUUCAAGGAGCGCAGAGGUGAUCAAGCAGCAGCUGCCGAGCUGUGCAGCCUGAAGCAGAAGUGCGAUUCGUUGACGGGACAGGUCAUGUCCAAACCUCGGAGGUGUCCGGAGAGUACUGCUUCUGGGGAAGGUGCUGAUACUGCCAAGAAAUGCUUCAGCCAUGAAAUGGCACUUGUCCUUGCCAGGGCCCUGCUUGGAGAGGACUGGCACCCUCAGCAGCACCUAAAGCAGGUGGGACUCACCUCAGGUAACAGCUUUGUCUCACCUCCAUCACCCUCACAGCAAUGGAAGAACCUGCCCUGGGUCCUUUCCACCAGCUCACUUGGAACACAGUAAUGCAAAGGACAGUCAGUCCUGCCACGCCUGCACAUGAAUGGUUCAUAUUUAAACUGACACAGGCAAAGUGUAGAAAGCUCCAAGGUAUGAACUAUUGUUUUUCUGCACCUGGAAGACAUAAUCCUUGAGGGGUGAUGAGCAUCCAGAGUAAGCCUGGCUGCCUUUGGAAGCAGCAGGGCAGAAAAGUACAGUGGCAGAGAGGGGGACAAUGCUUUCUGCAUCACCACCUGAAAUUUCUGUUUAUACAGGGCAAUGAAAAUAUAUUGAGAAACUCACAUGGAAAUACAUUUGCUGCUGCCUUAGAUUUUGUCAAGGUUUCUUCCUAGCUGUGUGGGUUUUCCUAGCUGUGUUCGAUAGUAUUCCAUCACACACAGUCUGGGUAUUGUUUUACUCUUGUUAGCCCGUAGAAAUUCAAACAUUCAGCUGUGCAAUUUGUGAAGUGGCUUAAAGCAUCUGUUCAAUUACUUGCAACAUGUUGCAUGUCUUGGGGCAGGGCUGAAAAAUCAGUCUCCAUUAAUCAGUAGCCUUUACAGCUUUGCUUUUGCAAUUUUAAUGUGAGAUUUAAAAAGAAAGCAGCAAUGUGUUUCAGCUUAACCCAAGUGCACAGAAGGCUGGGUGAUCUUUAAAAACUGGCAGAUUUCUGUGCUUCCUUCCUGCUGACAGCACCACAAUCCACAUUAAUUGCCUUGUCUUCUGAAAGACUGUCCCAAGUGAAAUUCCCAGUAGCACGCUGCAUUUGGCAGUUGUAAUACUAAAGAAUAUACUUGGAC
rnacentral:lncRNA from 1 species